rnacentral:rRNA from 1 species
GGGUGUGAUCAUAUCAAUGUUAAUGCACUGUAUCCCAUCAGAACUCUGCAGUUAAGCAGCCUUGGGCUAGAGUAGUACUGGGAUGGGUGACCUCCCAGGAAGUCCUAGUGUUGCACUCU